rnacentral:rRNA from 1 species
CUCCUCAAUGCUCUGGGCGACACGCGCACUACAAUGUCAGUGAGAACAAGAAGCCCUCUGUUCACUUAGGACGCGUCUGAUCACAAGGACGCGGAAACACCGGAAUCACAUCGACCCAAUUGGGACCGAGUAUUGCAAUUAUUGGUCGCGUAACGAGGAAUGUCUCGUAGGCGUAGUUCAUCAAACUGUGCCGAUUACGUCCCUGCCAUUUGUACACACCGCCCGUCGUUGUUUCCGAUGAUGGUGCAAUGCAGGUGAUCGGACCGGCGGGGGCCUGCCCUCGCUGGGAAGUUCACCGACAUUUCUUCAAUAGAGGAAGCAAAAGUCGUAACA